CAUGAAUAAAGUGUGUUACUGAAUUUUUCCACAGGGUGUAGGUUCAGAAGCAGUCUACCAAUCACUCCACCUUCAGACUUGUGAGAAACUGUUAUGUACGACACAAAAUACAGAUCCUGAUGGAGAUCAUACAACAGUCAUAACCUACAAGAGAUCACAUCUACUGCACUCCUAUCGCCACCAUCAGGAAUUUAGGUCUGAAGUCGACAUGAGAGGAUUCAGGAAGUUCUACAAUGUCACACAUGUUGGUCGGAAGAAGAAAGAGACUAAAGCAGGAGUGAUGUCAUCAGAUUCUUUCU